rnacentral:lncRNA from 1 species
CAAGUGCUACUUAACUCUCACUCAAGCCAUGAAGAUGGGACUUGGAGGAAAUCCUUAUGGACCAGCUGGAACUGGGAAAACGGAGUCAGUAAAGGCUUUAGGUGGACUUCUUGGAAGACAAGUUUUAGUCUUUAAUUGUGAUGAGGGCAUCGAUGUGAAGUCAAUGGGACGAAUAUUUGUUGGUUUGGUGAAGUGUGGGGCCUGGGGUUGUUUUGAUGAAUUUAAUAGGCUGGAAGAAUCUGUACUGUCAGCAGUUUCUAUGCAAAUCCAGACAAUUCAAGAUGCUUUGAAGAAUCAUAGAACUGUAUGUGAACUGCUUGGCAAGGAGGU